UACGUACUGGGCGAACGUUAUUCGGAAUUACUGGGCGUAAAGCGCGCGUAGGUGGUUUGUUAAGUUGGAUGUGAAAGCCCCGGGCUCAACCUGGGAACUGCAUUCAAAACUGACAAGCUAGAGUAUGGUAGAGGGUGGUGGAAUUUCCUGUGUAGCGGUGAAAUGCGUAGAUAUAGGAAGGAACACCAGUGGCGAAGGCGACCACCUGGACUGAUACUGACACUGAGGUGCGAAAGCGUGGGGAGCAAAC
rnacentral:rRNA from 1 species